GUUUAUUUAGGCUCUGAUCCGAGCACUGCGAUUAGGACACUAAGGGCCGAACGCCGCGGUGAUGGGGUAGGUGGUCUACAAAUCCACUAGAAAAUUACCACGGAAUUUUAAUAAGCCAGUGCUACGUCUGUACGGUGUACAGAGUACAAAUAUUGUUUCCUAGUGAUCCCUUUUACCUUAUCAAUUUGGUAGGUACGUGCAUUGCAAACUGAAGACGACUUUUGGACCAAAGUAUUUUUAAAUGUCUUAAUUGUGUUAAUAAAUUUUCAGAAAGUUUUACCAAAUGUUUUUAAAUAUCAGAUUACCAAAAAGUUGUGUCGUUGGGUUUAAUAAUGUUUAAAAAACUGAAAGAAAAAAUAGCGGACGAAGUUAAACAAAAUCCUCGAUUGCAGGAUGGCAAGAAAACGAAGGUAUUGGAUGCCACUGCGAGUUUAGAUUCGGUAAAUCAGUUGGCUUCCCAGACCUAUUCUGCUUUUAACAAGGAGGGUUCCGGAUCCAGGGACUCCCUAACCUCGCUCAACUCACAGUUCAGUCUCACAGAGAAUCAGAUUAAGGGAACUACCCCCCUGUCCGCUAGCUCUAGUACAGGACAGUUCUUCUCUCUGGGUGAGGAUGAUGAACCAUUAAGUCUGAGUGCAGCGAAUAGUCCGACUAAAACACCUACACCUACACACCAAGAUAUACUAGGAAGUAUGACCUCUACUCCAACUGGUCGAGGUCGGAGGUUGUCUAGUGGAAGUAUGGAUGCAUCUCUAUUCCCUAUAUACGAGGAUCCGGGAUCAGAAUCCAUUCCUCUGUUCUCCGAUCUAGAAUCCACUGCUGGAUCAGAGGCUGGCUGGGAUGACAGCUCGGCUCAGCUGUCAGCUGUCAGCAAGGAACAGCUGUAUGGCAUGCUGGCGAAGAUGAGAGCAAGAUAUCAUAAAUAUAAAGGACGGUACACGGAUCUAGCUAAAGCAUACCGACACUUACAAGCAGAGAAUACGAAGGUGAAAGAGGUUAUGCAGCAAACACAGGAUAAAGCCCUCAGACGUAUUUCUGAGCUGCGGGAACAGAGUUCUUUAGAGCAGCAAGCGAAGCAGCAUUUAGAAGAGGAGCUGCGCGCAGAACUAGAAGAGAAGCAGCAUAUUAUAAAUACUCUCAAAACAAAGGUAUCUCUACUGAAAGAGCAGCAGGACAAGGAGAAAAUGAAUGGUGAAGUAGGAAAACUAAUUGAUCUAAGCAUGGACAGCGGACUGCACGAGGAGAGUAUAGGACGAGGGAAGACGGACGACGGGGGAGAUGACGAUGGAUCAGAGCAGACAAGGUCGGACGAAAUAUUAUGUGAUGAGUCGGAGAGGAAUGAUCAUCAGAACGAGAAGAUUAAACGAUUAGAAAGUUUGUUGAACAAAUGCAAGGAGAAUAUCAAGGCAAACAAGCAGAAAAUAGGAGCUUUGUCUGAAGUAAAGGAGCAGCUUGCCGAGCAGCUUCUGAACAAAGAGAAGCAGCUUGAGCAGCUUACAGAAAGAAAUUCUAAACUUGAGGAUGACGUUGAGAAAGCCCGAGCUCGCGAGCAGAGCGAGGAGAUACAACUGGCGGAGACAAAGCUAGUCAUGCACAAAGAACUCCUAGAGAAGGAUGAACAGAUGGGAGAGCUCCGACGGUUACUGACAGUAGAGCAGGAGGAGGUGAAGAGGAAGGAGCAGGAGCUGGAGGUGCUGAGGAGGGAAAAGGAGAAGGAGGUGGCAGACUUUAGGUUGGAGAUUAAGGAGAUGGAGAAGGCACAGGCUAGCAUGGAGCUCAGACUGGAGGAGGAGAGGAAAACGGCAAUGGAGAUGAAUUACAAAGUUGAGGAACUGUCCCGAGGAAAGGAGGCAGCCCUUGAACAUGAACGGACUCGACUCAACUUACUUCAUAAAAAGGAGGUGGAGAGGGAAUUAAAAAGACAGGAAGAGGAGAUGAGGAGAAGGAUGGAGGAGGUUGAGGAGGAGGGGAGACUGGGGAAAGAGGAAAUGGAACUCAGAUUAUCUGUACUUUCUGGAUCUGAGCAACAAAAAGCACGGCAGCUGUCGCAACUGCAGCAGCAGUUGUCUCACAUUCAAGAUGAGAAAGCUGCUCUUCAAUCACAACUUGAGAGCAGCAAAGAGAACAGCGCAGAAACCAGGAAAAUGGUUGAACAGGUAUCCGAGCUUGAGAGGGUGAAGUCUGAUAUUCAGGGAUUAAAGGCAGAGAAGAUAAUUCUGGAGGAGAAGGUUGGAAACCUAACCAAGGAGCUCCAGGCCUGUAAAAAGGAGAUCGUUAGUAAAGAGGACGUGGAGCGAAGUUUGUUGGAGGAUCUGGAGACCGUUAAAAGAACGAUUAAAGAUAAGGAGGUCGGCCUUCUAGAGGUUCAGAAGGAGCUCACCAAGUAUAAGGAGGACACUGAAAAACUACAGAAGGAGAAGACGAAACUGCAGGAGUUUGGGAAAAAGAAGAAAGUUGAACUAGAGAAUAAGGAGAAGGAGUUUAAAGAAAAGCUGGAUAAGAACAAGACUGAAAUGAAAGUAAGCUUAGAAGAGAAGCAAUCUAGUUUUAAAUCCCAAAUUGAUGAAAAAAACAAUAAGAUUUCUGAGAUGCUAGAGUCCUUGGCCAAGUGUGAAGAGGAGAUUAAGGGGUAUGAAACUAAGCUGCAUAAAGCAGAGCAGCUCCGACGUGAUGAGAGUGAGAUGCAUAUGAAGAAGCUACGUGCUCUGGAGUCCCAACUAACAGCUGUAGGAGAGGAUAAGGAGUCCUCUCUUCAAUCCAGAAUAGAUAUUCUUAAUGAAUCUCACUCCACGGAGUUAAAAGAGAAGGAGAGCGAGAUUAAACGUUUGCAGACGGAGAUUAAAACAUUCUCGGAUUCUUAUCAUGAGAUGGAGGACAGGUUGAAGAUAAACCUGGAGAGCAGUCUCAAGUCCGAGGAGGAGAUGGAGAUCAAGUUCAAGGAUAUGGAACAGAAACUUGUAGAUUUCAACACAACACAGACCAAACUUUCAGAAGUAGAGAAAUAUAAAUCUGCCCUGGAGGCGAAAGUAAAGGAAUUGAAGUCAGGUGCUGAGAAACAGAAAAACAAGAUGGAGGAACUGGAAAGAAACAAGAUGGCUGAACUGGAGAAAGUUCUGGCGGAGAAAGAACAGGUUUCUAACGAACUUUGUCAGACAAAAACUACCGUUAAAAAUCUUGAAGCUAAUUUGAGCAGUAGUGAGAGUAAAAACUCUGAAUUAAGCCAGAAAAUCAGUGAGAUAUUUGAGAAAAGUACGCAGCAGAAUUGUGAGCGAGUUUCAGAGCUGGAGACAGAACUUGAGACGAUCAGAUUAAACCUUAGAGAGACGGAGUCAACACUUGAGACCAAGGUUGAUGAACUACGGGAUGCAAACGAACGCGUUGAAGAUCUACAAAAUAUUCUAGAAAAGCUACAAGACGUCGAGGCUAAGAACAAAUGCCUGGAAGAUCAACUUGAUCAGAAGGUUCUUGAGCUGAGGGAGAGUAACGAGGAGCUUGAAGAGCUCAAGAGGAUGACGGAGGAGCAGAAGAUUGGUCUGGAGCAGGAGCUGGAGCACCUCAAGUUGAUCAGCAGGCAGGAGAACGGCAGCAGGGGGGACAUGGAGAAAGAGUUGAUAAGUCUCAAGGAUCAGUUGAACUCUAAACAAGCUUUGCAAGAUCAAAUGGUAACUUACGAGAAGGAAUUGCAAUCAAGGAUAUCUGAGUAUGAAGGAGAAAAAAGCAACCUGGAGAAUAGGUUGAGAGUGGAGGAGGAGAAGGUGCAAAACCUGCAGGAGGAGAUCAACAACCUCAACCUCCACUAUCAGGAGGAAGCGGACAGACAUAAACAAGAUUUAGAGAUGAAAAUCAGGCUGGAGAGGGAGAAGGAGAACUCCCAGAAGGAGUUCAAGAUGCAGAGUAUUGAAUACGAGAAGAGACUCCAGGAUCAGCUUCAGGAGAAAAAUUCAAGAAUUGAUCAGUUGGUCCAAGAAAUGGAAUCCUUCAAGAAAGAGCAGGGUCAAAUUGUAAAUUCAAAUGAAAAGGAAAUAUCAAGCCUUCAGGCACAAAUACACUCUAUAUCCUCAUCCCUGGCCAAGAGAGAAAACGAAAUAAGGAAUCUUGGGGAGAAGCGAGAACAGUUAGAGUCAAUAUUAGAGGAGAAGGAGAAAGGAGUUCAGGAGUUGGAGACCCAGCUGGAGAACAAGGAAACUGAGCUUAAGGAGGCUCAUGUUAAAUCUGCCAAAAUCCAGGAGAAAUAUGAACACCAGAUUUCUGAACUAAAAGAUCAAGUAAAAGAGUUUACAAAUACCCUGACUCUUCGGAACCAGGCCUUUGACAACCUCAAGCAGGAGUUGGAGAUUAGUAAGACGGAACUAGAAACCAACAAAUUAGUAUAUACCAACAAAAUGGCGGAACAUGAAAAGAAAAUGGCCGACAUUGAAAACAAGAUGGCUACUGCUGACUCAGAAGUAAAGAAACUGAGUAAGAGUCGGGACAGGUUGAAGAGUUUGUUGGAGGAGAAGGAGAAGGCCUUGAAGGAUCUUAAUCAGCAAAAGGAGAUGAUAUUCGGAUCUCAGGAGGAGCUGAACACCCAGACACAGGAACAAGUUCGAACUCUCUCUGCGGAGAUUGACCGGCUUAACCAGAGGAAUUCAGUUCUAGAAUCUGAAAUUCAAACAUCUAGUGAAACUUCAGCCACCCUGAGGAUUGAGAAGACCGACCUGAAAGAUCAGCUGGAGAAGAUGUCGGUGGAGAUGAACAAGAUGAAGAAGGAGUCCGAGAAGUUCUCUGAGAAGCAGAGUAUGCUGGAGGAGGAGAGGGACGGGUUGAGGGAGGAGAUAAACCAGCUGGAGAUAAGUUUUGUCGAGGUUGAGAUGGAGAGGAAAAGGUUGGAAGAAUCUUCAACUAAUUCCGCAGAACUUCAAACUAUACUCAAGCAAACAGAAAGUGAGCUGUUGAGUCGUAACGAAGAAAUUUCGUUACUCCAGAUAAAACUUGAUCAGUUGGAGAACUUGAGCUAUAACGAACUUAAGGAGGAGAAUGCAAUGCUCAGUGAGAGAUUAAGUCAGUUUGAGGAAGAACGAUCAGAACUCGGACAUUCGGGGAAUAGUAAUCAUAAUGAUCAAAUAGAGAAGCUUCAAGAUAAUCAUGCAAAAGAUAUUGCAAGGUUACGGGAAGAGAUCUCUAGCCUGGAGGUUGAACUGGAGGACUGGAGAAGAACUGGAGGAUCUGAUUUAUCUGAUGAAACUGAACUCCGGUUGAAGAACCUUAUCAGGGAGUGGGAGAGGAAACUAGCGCUCAAAGAUAACGAACAUAUCCAGGAGCUUGAAAAUAUGAGGGAACAGCAGGAGCUGGAGAUAAAACGGAUCCAACAGGAACAUAGAUCAGCAAUUAGCAGGUUUACGGAGGAGAUGAGGGAACAUCAGAGGAUAGUUGAUAUGCUGGAGGGGGAGAGGGAUGAGUUGAAGAGGAGGGUGGGCGAGGGGGAGAAAGAAGAGGAGGGGAGUAUGAGGGAGCUCGAGUUGAAGCAAAGGAUCGAGGAGCUUGAGGAUAGGAUUGUCAGCUUGUCUAGGGAUCAGAAAAAGGAUUGGGGUUGGGAUGAUGGGGAUGAGAUGAUGAGUAUGACAGAUGAUUCUCCAGCUAUAUUUGGAGUUCCAAACCAUCAACCUCAUCCAGCUAACUCCAAACCAAACCAUAAUAAUUCAGUCAAAUAUGCGAGUAUGGAUGAGAGUCCUGAGUUUGAGUACCUGAAGAAUAUCCUUUAUGAAUAUAUGCUCGGAAGACAACCUUUAAUCCUGGUUAAGGUGUUGGCUGCAAUUGUGAAAUUCACGCCGGAACAGGUUUCUGAGAUUAUACGAGCAGAAGAGAGGAAACAGUCCUACCUUGCUCCACUAGGAUUAUCCUAGCUAGAGGUUUGGUCCAUCACCAUCACUGAAUUUUAAAUCUUCAAUUUGUACUCGGAGUACAUACGCUGAUGUAAAGUUCUCUGUGAUCUCUUCCAGUAUCUGUGAUUUAGAAACUAUAUAAUUAAUUUCAUCUGUAUCUAGCUCCACACUACAUAAUAUACAUAACUUUUCAAUACAUAGGUUCUAAUUUAAUAUCUAAUUGUAAUCUUGACUCAUAGGUAUUGAUCAGUGAUGUACAUGGAAUUUUUUCUUUCAAGGGGGGACUCAGCGUCCGUUGGGGCC